GGGUCCGGACACACUGAGGAUUGACAGGCAAAAGAUACAAGUUUUCUUUGUGAGAGCUUGCAUUGUAAAAUAUGCGAGUCCUUUCAUGAUUAUGUGAUAGGUGGUGCAUGGCCGUUCUUAGUUCGUGGAGUGAUCUGUCUGCUUAAUUGCGUUUCACAACGAUUUAAAAUGCUAUGUUUUCUGUGUUUGCUGUUCGGUUUUAGCUCUUACGGGAGUUUUUAACUUUGAACGCACACGGCGUAGCUUAAAACAAUCGGAAAGCAACGAACGUGACCGCAACCUCUUGUUGCCUUUAUUUUUAAAAGCGUGGAAAAUUUUAUUUUCUUACGCUUGAAAAAGGCUUUAAAACUAGAGGGACCGCUGUUCUAUUCUCUUAAACCAGAGGAAGAUUGCGGCAAUAACAGGUCUGUGAUGCCCUCAGAUGUUCCGGGCUGCACACGUGCUACAAUGAUUGUUGCAGUGAGCAUCUAUUUUCAAACGCUACCGUUGCGGAUUUUGUGAGAAGGGAGCUUGUUUUAAAGCUUUCGGGUGGAGAAGCAGGUUUCUUUUUUUCACAAUUUAUUCCGCGUUACGUGUCAGCUAAACCUGCUUCGAAAGCAAGUAGGU
rnacentral:rRNA from 1 species